rnacentral:lncRNA from 10 species
CUCAGGAGUCGGAUGAGAGGGCUCACACAUGCGCACUAAGAGGCAAAAUGGCAGUCUUUAACUGUUGACAUGACCUCCUUGGAACAUUCAGACUGAGAACUACCUGUAAUUUGAGCGAAAAAAAUCUUCUUUUGGAAACUCCUUAAGAUAUAGUCUGCCUUACUGCACGCUAUUGAGGCAGCGGUGUAUGUGCAGUGCCUAUUACUCCAUCUUGACAAGAAAUGGAAGAACUCACCAUUGUCUUUUGAUAUUUUAAACUGCAUUACUUUCAUAUAUUAUCUCACUUAUUUUUAUAUUUUAAUGGAAAUAUCUACUCAGCAUGAUAAAACAGUUUUGUUUUUCUCAUAUUGCCAGAAGGAAUACACAGUUUCUUUAAUAUGAAAGGCAAUUUUAUACAUCCGCACAAAGAGUAACACUUCAUUCAUAGUAUGCUACACGUAUAGGAAGGUUGGUGAAUAUCUGCAGUUUGUACUUUCGAGUUGAUUUUUUUUUUUUUAGUUUUUAAUUUUGGGUUAUUUUCUCUUUAAUUUAACUUCUAUGUAUUUGUAAACUAAGUGAUAAUUUUUGACAUAUAUUCAAGACUUAAGUAAUAUUCCAUUAAAUCACCCACAUAGCUUCCCAACUUUUGAUUUAUUCUGUGAGAGUUGGCAAUUUAUACCACAACUGAUUCAAAUAAAUGCACUAAAUUAACAAUGAAAUAAAUAAAUACCAUCAAUACAGUUUAUUACAGAAGGACAAUAAACUCACAACACCUAAUACUCUGUCGGCUGACUAGUUGAUUUUUUUACUUAUGUAAAUUUCAUCCCAAUUUAAGAGAUAUUUAAAGGGUAUAUAUUUGAAUUGAGAAACAAUGGUAUUAUUCCUAAAUUGUAGAUAGACAAACUGAGAUUUCAAGACCUAAAGCAUUUUUUUUCACAGCCACAGAGCAAGAAAUUGAUGAAGACAAGUUUUGAACAGAGAUCAUACUUUCAAUCGAGUGCUUUCACUAUACCUUACUGCCUUUUUUAAGAAUUUAUAUAUUAAAAAUAUAUUUUAAUCUUGUUAUUUGAUUAAAACCCAAUUUGUACAAUUCAUGAUACUGGAAAAAUUACAAGGUUUGAUAAAUUUAUUCUGAAUAAAAUUAAGAUAUGUAAUUUGAAUUGCUCAAUUAGUUUGGAGUCAAUAACUUAAAAG